rnacentral:lncRNA from 1 species
CUUGUUCUCCUCUUUAUAAGUGGUUCUUGACUUUUUGGGAGAAUUUUAUCGCUUUUGGGGAGAAUUUUAUCGCCGAGAGUCAGCUUCUUCUUUGUGAGAGUGAUUUCAUUUUUUACUUAGAGUUUUUGCUUAAGCAUUCAUCUUCUUUGGAAUAAAUAUUUUCCCUUAUGUGUUUAAUUUAUAGCCUCUUCACCAUAUUUCAUUUAUCUAAGUACCAUUCUACCUUGAAGGUUAGAAAGAGCAUUAGUCCAUAUAUGAGGAGGGCUAGUACGUUACCAAGCGCAUCCCAAUGUUGUGUUGCAAGUAACUUUUCAGCUUCACUCUCCAAGUAAGCUUUCCGAAAAUCUGAAAAGUCCUCUAUUUUCUUCCAAUUAGCCAUUGCACUUGCG